AGCCGGUAUAGCUCAGUGGUAGAGCAGCUGUUUCGUAAACAGCAGGCCAUCGGUUCAAACCCGAUUACCGGCUU
rnacentral:tRNA from 1 species